rnacentral:rRNA from 1 species
GAUGAACGCUGGCGGCAUGCCUAAUACAUGCAAGUCGAACGAGAGGAAGGAAAGCUUGCUUUUCUGAAUCUAGUGGCGAACGGGUGAGUAACACGUAGGUAACCUGCCCAUGUGCCCGGGAUAACUUCUGGAAACGGAUGCUAAAACCGGAUAGGUAGCAGACAAGCAUUUGACUGCUAUUAAAGUGGCUAAGGCCAUGAACAUGGAUGGACCUGCGGUGCAUUAGCUAGUUGGUGAGGUAACGGCACACCAAGGCGACGAUGCAUAGCCGGGCUGAGAGGGCGGACGGCCACAUUGGGGCUGAGACACGGCCCAAACUCCUACGGGAGGCAGCAGUAGGGAAUUUUCGUCAAUGGGGGGAACCCUGAACGAGCAAUGCCGCGUGAGUGAGGAAGGUCUUCGGAUCGUAAAGCUCUGUUGUAAGAGAAAAACGACAUUCAUAGGGAAUGAUGAGUGAGUGAUGGUAUCUUACCAGAAAGUCACGGCUAACUACGUGCCAGCCGCCGCGGUAA